GACAGAGGAUGCAAGCGUUAUCCGGAAUGAUUGGGCGUAAAGCGUCUGUAGGUGGCUUUUCAAGUCCGCCGUCAAAUCCCAGGGCUCAACCCUGGACAGGCGGUGGAAACUGCCAAGCUGGAGUACGGUAGGGGCAGAGGGAAUUUCCGGUGGAGCGGUGAAAUGCGCAGAUAUCAGGAGGAACACCGGUGGCGAAGGCGGGACUCUGGGCCGAUACUGACGCUGAGGAGCGAAAGCGUGGGGAGCAAACAGG
rnacentral:rRNA from 1 species